rnacentral:lncRNA from 1 species
GGCGUUGGAGAUAAAGCCAAAUCGGUUAUUAAUUGUUAUCCUAAUAUGACUAGGAUUUAUCUCUAACUAACUUUCCAAUUUGAAAGCGAGAUUAAUCCUAAUCCAAUUAGAUAACAUAAUAUCCGUCGGAUCGAACCCGAUUAUGGGCGUACCCGAUUCGAUUUAACCGAAUGCCAACACUAAAUGUUAGAGAGAUGCAUGAAAAUGAUGUUGCAUGAAUGCAUAGGUUAUAUUAUGCAAGUUGGAACAUAUGCAUGUUAAUGUAUUUGUGGACUAUGUUGAGUAACAUAUGCUAAUUAACAUAUGCAUGUUGACUUGGGUCUAAAACUCUUGGAUGAUUAAAAAACUUGACAUUGGGAAUACAAUGUAGUAUUAAUAUAAUGAUAUGUUGGUUUCCUACAAUGGGAUGAUAAAUGUGGAUAAGAACCUAGACCCUAUAAGUGAUGGUUGAUACUUAUGUUGCUAAAGAACUAGUGUGAUGUAACUAGUGUUGAUGAUGAGUCUAAAUGACGAGUGGCAUCUAGUUAGAAAACUAUGAUGAGUGGCAUAUGAUUGUUGAUGACCUUGAUAUGAGAACAUUAGUGUAGUUGAGACACUAUGAGACCAAGUACAAGUAUACCUUGAUUCCAUGAUGAGAUUACCCUUAGAGGGUAGGUUGCUGCUGUUCGUGAGUUGAUCGUGCUCACAUAGCCUGUCUGCGCUUGGAGGGGUCGCUCCCCACAAGUUGUGCACUCCGGAGGUUGGUCACUAGAGGGACAGUCAGUGUGCUGUCUGGACGGUCUGUGUGCUGUCCGCAGGCGGUCUCGGGGGACAGUUCAGUGAGACUUCUCCCCUAUGAGACUUUGAGAUGUGAGAUUGAGGGCGACCCCCUUCGGGUUAGCCAAGUGAUUGGGUAACAAGCUUAUGAGCUAUAGUGAUUGUCCUACUUGAGGGGAUUUAAGGCCGAGGUGCAAGUGAGAUGUCCUUCGCCUCGUGCCUGGCUUUAUGCGGUACUCCGCAGAUGAUUGACUCAAGACCGAGUCGGGCGGCUAGCUUUGUAAAGGUAGAUGAAACCUUAUGAUUAAAAUGGUAAAUGACAGAAAACCUUAAAUGUCAAUUGGAUGAAAGUAGUAAUCGAUUGAAUUACUAGUUGGUUGUAUAGUUGCAUUAUUGCAUGAUCUUCAUAUUGCAUAUCGCGAGGCAAUGCAUGGUAUUGUUAGUUGCAUGAUCUUAUUAUCAUAUCUAUCUGUUUAUUGAACUAACCUGCAGCUUGCCUCCUUCGGACAUGUCGGUCGAGUUUUUCCUUGGGUGGCCGUACCCACUGGGAACUAUGGAGUUAGUUCUCACCCCACAUUGCUUUUGGGGUGUUACAGGUUUGCACGAGUGCGGCGCGGUGGCGCGAGGCGAGGGCGUAGCUCUGUAGAUAGCGCCCUACCACAGAGACCAGAGCUAGCAGUACCCCGUCGACAUAGCUUAGGGGUAUAGAAAAUGGUAAGAACAUAAUGUAUCAAAUUGUAAUGAGUAAAUG